rnacentral:rRNA from 1 species
GACGAACGCUGGCGGCGUGCCUAAUACAUGCAAGUCGAACGAACUCUGGUAUUGAUUGGUGCUUGCAUCAUGAUUUACAUUUGAGUGAGUGGCGAACUGGUGAGUAACACGUGGGAAACCUGCCCAGAAGCGGGGGAUAACACCUGGAAACAGAUGCUAAUACCGCAUAACAACUUGGACCGCAUGGUCCGAGUUUGAAAGAUGGCUUCGGCUAUCACUUUUGGAUGGUCCCGCGGCGUAUUAGCUAGAUGGUGGGGUAACGGCUCACCAUGGCAAUGAUACGUAGCCGACCUGAGAGGGUAAUCGGCCACGUUGGGACUGAGACACGGCCCAAACUCCUACGGGAGGCAGCAGUAGGGAAUCUUCCACAAUGGACGAAAGUCUGAUGGAGCAACGCCGCGUGAGUGAAGAAGGGUUUCGGCUCGUAAAACUCUGUUGUUAAAGAAGAACAUAUCUGAGAGUAACUGUUCAGGUAUUGACGGUAUUUAACCAGAAAGCCACGGCUAACUACGUGCCAGCAGCCGCGGUAAUACGUAGGUGGCAAGCGUUGUCCGGAUUUAUUGGGCGUAAAGCGAGCGCAGGCGGUUUUUUAAGUCUGAUGUGAAAGCCUUCGGCUCAACCGAAGAAGUGCAUCGGAAACUGGGAAACUUGAGUGCAGAAGAGGACAGUGGAACUCCAUGUGUAGCGGUGAAAUGCGUAGAUAUAUGGAAGAACACCAGUGGCGAAGGCGGCUGUCUGGUCUGUAACUGACGCUGAGGCUCGAAAGUAUGGGUAGCAAACAGGAUUAGAUACCCUGGUAGUCCAUACCGUAAACGAUGAAUGCUAAGUGUUGGAGGGUUUCCGCCCUUCAGUGCUGCAGCUAACGCAUUAAGCAUUCCGCCUGGGGAGUACGGCCGCAAGGCUGAAACUCAAAGGAAUUGACGGGGGCCCGCACAAGCGGUGGAGCAUGUGGUUUAAUUCGAAGCUACGCGAAGAACCUUACCAGGUCUUGACAUACUAUGCAAAUCUAAGAGAUUAGACGUUCCCUUCGGGGACAUGGAUACAGGUGGUGCAUGGUUGUCGUCAGCUCGUGUCGUGAGAUGUUGGGUUAAGUCCCGUAACGAGCGCAACCCUUAUUAUCAGUUGCCAGCAUUAAGUUGGGCACUCUGGUGAGACUGCCGGUGACAAACCGGAGGAAGGUGGGGAUGACGUCAAAUCAUCAUGCCCCUUAUGACCUGGGCUACACACGUGCUACAAUGGAUGGUACAACGAGUUGCGAACUCGCGAGAGUAAGCUAAUCUCUUAAAGCCAUUCUCAGUUCGGAUUGUAGGCUGCAACUCGCCUACAUGAAGUCGGAAUCGCUAGUAAUCGCGGAUCAGCAUGCCGCGGUGAAUACGUUCCCGGGCCUUGUACACACCGCCCGUCACACCAUGAGAGUUUGUAACACCCAAAGUCGGUGGGGUAACCUUUUAGGAACCAGCCGCCUAAGGUGGGACAGAUGAUUAGGGUG